rnacentral:lncRNA from 1 species
UUUUUUUUUUUUUUUUUAGAUUUUAUUUAUUUAUUCAUGAGAGGCAGAGACAGAGGCAGGGGGAGAAGCAGGCUCCCUGUGGGGAGCCCGAUGCGAGACUCAUCCAAAGACCCCAGGAUCAUGAGCUGAACCAAAGGGAGAUGCUCAACCACUGAGCCACCCAGGUGUCCCUAGAUUGGGUUUUGUACAUUAACCAGAUCCUUAGUUCUAUUUUCAUUCUUCAGUCAGAUGGCCUCAUUCUUGUGUGUGUCUGUUCUUUAUUGCUAAUUUGUUUUUAUUUCUAUUCUGAAUUCAACUUAGAGUAAUUUCUGUCAGUUUCCUUGAACUCCUGCCUCUAUUUUCCCUGGCCAACCCCUUGGUUGCAGGUAAAACCUUACCUCUCAGCUAUCUUGACUCAGACUCACUGAUUCCUCUGGAUUCCUUUCAGCAGCAGCCCUUUCCAGAUCCAGUUUGUCCCUCUGAAUGGAUUCUCACCAGAGGUGUGGUUUCCAGGCUUAUUUUUAGUUGCAGAGGAACCCUUCCUUGAAGUGAAAGCCCAUCAUAUAUGGCAGAUGGAAUGGAGCUGUCUGUGGGGAGGGGGUACAGCCCCUCCAACUGGACCCAUUCUCCUCUCCACCCUUCUUCAUGGCUCUUCUGGGCCCGAGUUGAAAGCCAUCACUCUGGGGACUCUUGAGUGGCUCAGUGGUUGAGCAUCUGCCUUUGGCUCAGGGUAUGAUCCUGAGGUCCUGGGAUCGAGUCCCGCAUUAGGCUCUAGGGAGCCCGUUUCUCCCUCUGCCUGUGUCUCUGCCUCUCUCUGUGUGUCUCUCAUGAAUAAAUAAAAUCUCUUUAAAAAAAGAAACAAAAGAAAACCAUCACUCUGCAUGUGGAUUUGCUUCUCCCUAGUUAGCUGUCUCCUGUCCUGAUGGCUUACUUCCUUAAAUGCCUUGGCCAGCAUGAAGCAUGUGUCCUCUCUCGAAUCUCCCUCAUUCUCUUUGAAGGUCACAUUUUCCCCAACAAGCACAACAUUUUAACUUCUCAUCUCUCUAGUGUGUCCCCAGGUGGGGCUUCCACUCACCUGCUUGUGUCCCAUCCGUUCAGCCUUCAGGGCUGAAAGCCAUGCUGGAAAAGGCUGGCUGGCCAGCUGCACAUCACCUGGCCUCUCUACCAUGUGACCAUUUGAAGUCCUUCACUUAGGCCAUAGCUCUCUGGUUACUGAACAAUUGACAUAUUUUUUUUUUCCAGAGAAUCUUCUUUGGUCACAAGCACCUUGGAAGAGCAGAGAUGCUUCCAACUCAGGGAGGCAGGGGUUCCAUGAGCCUGUGAGGAAAGGGGUGUGGAGGCCAAGCUGUGGGCAGGAUCUUCCGGCAAGCCACAUGGAGCCCCUUGUAACGCUGGCGUCAACCCUUGUCCUCCGACCCUCCAAGCCAGGUUUGGAGUGGGCUACCCUCCCUAGUGGGCAGCUCUGGAUGGCAGGGAGUCCCGACAAACUGGGACUGGGGACUUGUGGGUGUCUCUGUGGCCCAUUUACUGAGGGUUUCCUGGACAUCUUGGAACACAUUAUGUGGGUCUUUUCCAAGCUCUGUUCUUUUUUUCUUUUCUCAUUCUACAUAAUUAUUUCCAUACCUAAUCUUGUACUUAUAAUUGUGUAUCCUUUCUCGAAGAAAGCCUUCCAAAUUCUAUAGGCUUCAGGCCCUCUAAAACCUGGAUGUAAAAAAAUAAAUAAAUAAAUAAAUAAAACCUGGAUGUGUCCCUGCAAACCAUGGUCUCGGGGCUCUCCCAGUGGACCCAGGGACCCAUGCUCUAGGGGGGGUUUCUAGGGGAGGCAAAGAUUCUCAUCUCCAAGGCUUUCCAAGACAUCUGUAGUACUUUGUGUACAGGAUGUCCAUGGCACAUGUUCUGGUGGAAGGCAGGGAGGCCUAAGUUUUGAAGUGCUUCUUGUCCUGUCCACAACAUGCCAGUCCCACUGUAGAACCCUAAGGCAGAGGACAACUGGAAACCCAUGAGGGUAGGGAAGGGCUACUUUCUGCUGGUUACUCUCCUUGUGCCACACAGCUCCUACACCCAGCUUUGGUGCAAACUUUCUGGAAAAAGGAUUCAGUGUGGUCCCUUCUCUCCAGAAUGGCUUUUUCAUCGGGCUGGGACUCCUGGUUUAGGCUUCAACCUGGCAGUACUGGUGCUUGACUAUAAUUCCUAAAUCUAGCUUUUAAGAGUCACGUAUUACAUAAUGGGAGAUUUUGCCUGCCUGGGACAUCUCAGGACUUGUGAGUUCAGUGCCUAGGACCCAGUAGGUUUUUUGGAUCUGCUCUUUGCUUUGCAUUGUUUCAUAGCUAUUGAUACAAGUCAGAUGUGAAAGCCAGUGAUAGCUAACACUAUUUUUUUUGUUUUAUUUUAAAGAUUUAUUUAUUUAUGAGAGCGAGCGAGCAAGUGAGCGAGCUUGCAAGGGAUGGGGGCAGAGGGGGAGGGAGAGAGAGAAUCCCAAGCACAUUCCCCACUGAGCAUGGAGCCCAAUGUGGGGUUCAAUGUCACAACCGUGAGAUCAGGGCCUAAGUUGAAAUCAAGUCAGAUGCUUAACCAACUGAGCCAUCCAGGUGCCCCAGCAAACACUAUUUUAAAAACGUGUAGGGACACUUCUAGAUAUAGAUAGUGGAUUAAAGCUUCCCCAAGGCAUUUCUCUUUCUUAAUUUCUAACAAAAGAAAGUAAAUAAAACUACAAGGGAAAUUUCCUAUCAGCAACCAAUACAAUCAACUUCAAAUUUGGCAUCCAAAGAAAGAUACAGAAGGUUUUGGAAUGCUAUGGAGUGGCGCAACACAUCUCUGCUUUCUCUCCUGUCCCGAAUGCCCAGAAAUGGGCAAAAUCCUGAACAUUCUCCCAAGUGCUCCUGAAUCUGAAAGGAAACAGAUGUGAGUCAUGCCCUUAUAUUCUUCCUCUUCUGAAUGAACCAUAUUUAAAAGGGUGCUGGGGAGAAAUAGGGGAAGCAGGGAGUAUGACCCAUGGAGCUGACUCAGUUGAUGGAAAGAAAACGCUUAGAACAACACUCCAACUGGGAAAUUGAUGCAAAGCCUGGGUUCUCCCCUUUCCUUGCAAAGGGUAUCUAGUAUCCUUCUCUCCAUCCCCAAUCAGGUGACCUGAGCCUUGCGCAGGACAUUAAUCAGAACCUCAGGACAGGAGCACAUGCAGGAAUUCCAAUGAAGACUGCACUGUGCUUCAGUUGAGCUCUCCUCUCUCCCUUCCUCCCCUCCAACUUCCAAAAAGUGUACAAAAUCCAAAUACCCUGCCUCUCACUUAGGUCAGAGGGAAAAAUAGACUGAUCUCAAAUAGUGGGGAGAUAGUCAAUGAGCUCCUCUCUCCUGCCAUCAUGUUACAGAAGCAUAAUGUAGGUCUGGACAGAGUUACCAAAUCAAGAUGAAAAGAAAUGGAUGCCAACACAUGGCAGCACAUAAUUAAUGAUAAACAGAGGGGAAAAUAGUUGGCAAAAAACAAAGCCUCCUCCCCCCUCUCGCCCCUACUCCUAUCUCCUGCCAAAGGAAAUUGCUUUCAAUUGUUUCACAUUGAAAACAACUUAAUAAGAACACGAAUUCAAUAAUCGAAGGCUCAAAGAUAGGAUGAUAAAACGAGACUUGAUAGCAAGGAAACAAAAUGAGGACAAAAACAGCAUUAUGAUAGAACUAAGAAAUAACUUAGAACUAACAAGAAAGACAACUAACCACACAGAAACUCACAUUCCUGAACUGGGGCAGCUAAACAAAGUAAGGAGAUUUAAGAAAGUAGAAUUACAGAGCACCUGGGUGGUUCCGUGGUUGAGCGUCUGCCUUGGCUCAGGUUAUGAUCCCAGAGUCCUGGGAUCGAGUCCCACAUCAAGCUCCCCUCAGGGAGCCUGCUUCUCCCUCUGCCUAUGUCUCUGCCUUUCUCAGGAAUAAAUAAAUAAAAUCUUAAAACAAACAAACAAAAAAAGAAAUUAGAAUUACUAGAAAUGGAAUACAUACAAAGAUGAUCCAACAUAAGGAUUAACUGGUAUCCCUGAAGAAGGAAAAUAAAAAAUAGAGCCAAAAGAGAAUGCCUAAUGCAGAAAAAAUGUAAACUGCAGAUUGAAAGACCCAUUAUGUUCCAGAAAGGCUGGAUUCAGAAUGUUUAAUACUAAGACAUGUCUUGGUUAAAUCAAUGAACUACAAAACCUGAUGGAAAGUGACUUCUUUAGGCAUACAAGUAGGACAAAGAGGUCACCUACAAGGGGGAAAAUUCAGACUUGUUUCAGAUCUUUUCCAGAGAAGAAAGUGCAACAUCUACCAGACUCUAUGGGAAAGAAGGUGAGACCCAAGAAUAUCAUACCUGGCCAAGAUCUGGUUCCAGUGUACAGGCAACAGGCAGGCAUUCUUAAACAUCCAAAACUCUUCUUGAUAAAACAGCUUAGCGAUGAAACUCAGUCCAUGAAGAGAUGAAUUGAAAUGAAGAGCUUGCAAUGGAGAAUCCUUGAUAAAAGGCUUGGAAUGCAUUUAAAUCUACAAUGUAUACCAAGUAACUGCAAUUAUAUUUCUACAGAACAGAAUAUGUUUCUUAUAAUCCUGGACAAUGUAACAAUAUUAAAUAAGUAACAAAAGUCAGGAGGCAGGGCAAGGGAGAUUGGCAAGUGGAAAGGAUCAUGCACGUGUGCGUACACACACAAUUCAAAUGUAUCAUUUAAAAAAAAUGACUGAAUAUCUUAAUGCUUUUCACCAUUUUUGUUUACUCUCAGAGGUACCUUUCAACAAGUAAGGUGGUAAUUGUGGUCAAGAAACAUGACUUGAAGGUCAACUCUUCCUUCAGUUUCAAGUAAAAUUAAACGUCAUACUUCAAAUUAAAAUAGCAUCUGGGGAUCCCCGGGUGGUCAGUGGUUUGGCGCCUGCCUUUGGCCCAGGGCGCGAUCCUGGAGACCCGAGAUCGAAUCCCACGUCGGGCUCCCGGUGCAUGGAGCCUGCUUCUUCUCCCUCUGCCUAUGUCUCUGCCUCUCUCUCUCUCUCUCUGUAAGACUAUCAUAAAUCAAUAAUAAAAUAAAAUAAAAUAGCAUCUGCAUUUUGGUCCAAUUCUUGUAAAGUAUCUCUGUGAUCUCUCUUCCUUUCUUUAUGCACAAAAAGCUUUCUGGAAUGAUGUGAUGUAAUAGUCAUUUCUGUGGUCGAUUCUGAAAGGUCGUAUACAGCUGGUUAUUUUCUUGCAUGUUACUUUUUAAUAUUUAAUCUUCCGAUACAUCUACGAAUAAACAAUUUUAAGUAUUAGAAACAAAAUUUUCUCAGACACCUCACUGCAAUAGAAUAGUCCAAAAACAGACUCAGCAGAGAGGGCUGCUAUUUCCCAGCAUCUACUCUAAACAUUUUAUGGAAUUUUUAGCAUAUACAUGAUGGCCAGGAUGCAGACCCCAUUUCCUAGCUGGGGUUCCGGCCGAUAGGAUGUAGGCAGAGGUACCAUAUGGCAGCUUGUGGGUCAUUUUUGAGUACUUGAUCAUUUUCUCUUUAUCACCUUCAUUCUUUCCUGCUGUCUGGAAUGUGGAUAUCACUAUAUGAGACCAAGAGAUCAAGACUUUCAAAGCAAAGGGACACAGAAGGUGUGUAUAGUGUGUCACAUCACCUAGACUGCCUUUGUGGAUAACAUGAGGAAGAAAGAAACUUCUGUCUUGUGGAAGCAUUGGAACCGAAGCCUAACUGACCCACAGACCUACACGUAUGCAUAGAGAAAUCUAGACUCUGAUAACUAUUUGCAUUGUACAUCAGUGGGGAAAGACUAAACACCUGGCUUGGCACAUGCACAAACAAAUCGUCCUUGGACCUAAACGUGACAACAAUUUUAAAAACGCUUUGUAAGGGAUCCCUGGGUGGCGCAGCGGUUUGGCGCCUGCCUUUGGCCCAGGGCGCGAUCCUGGAGACCCGGGAUCGAAUCCCACAUCAGGCUCCCUGCAUGGAGCCCGCUUCUCUCUCUGCCUGUGUCUCUGCCUCUCUCUCUCUCUCUCUCUCUCUCUGUGACUAUCAUGAAUAAAUAAAUAAAAUCUUUAAAAAAAAAAAACGCUUUGUAAGAAAAUGCAAAGGGAAUAUCUUUAUGAAUGUGAGAGAGGGAAGGACUUUUUAAAAAGAUGUUUUAUCGUAGAUAUCAGAAAGGAAACAAUAGGUAAACUAUACAACACCAACAUUUUACUCUUUAGUAUGACAAAAGGAACUAUAACAAAUGUAAAUGACAAGCAACAGUGAAGUCUGUCAUGUUCAAGUUCAUUGAGGUGCCAGAUGUGUAUAUGGGGUGGGGGCAGAGGGGUGGUCAACUAAGCAGAGAGCUGCAUAUCCAUUCCUUUUUACCUCUCAGAUAGUGGCAAUGCAUAUUAGCUUAUAAAAAUAUCUCAGAACUUCUACAGAAAUCUUUUUUUUUUCUCGUGUGGAACUCAGCAUUCAUACAGUUAUUUUAUUUCUAACUGUGGGACCAUUGUGUGUGUUGUGUGUUGUGUGUGUGUGUGUGUGUGCGUGUGUGUGUGUGUGUAACAUCUAUGAACUUCUCCUGGGUGUUUAAGGAACACAUGAGAAUGCUGCCAUAAGAAGUAACCCUCUGCUUCAUGUAAGAAAUGAUUGUGGCAUUCACCUUUGUGUGCCCACAGGUAACUCUUACUCGUCCCAUGGUUUUGGCCAGUAGUAGCAUUGGAGGGGAGAUGAAGGAAGUGGAGAGGGUGGAGAUAGAGGUGGAGGAGAAGAAGAAGAGAGAAAAAGGAAGAAGAUGAAGAAGGGAAAGGGGAAGAGGAAGAAGAAAGAAAAAGAAAUUUGGGGUUUGGGGAGUAGGUGUAAAUUCCUCUAGUGAAGUGAACAUAUCUCAAGAGAAGGAAGUCAGCUGUAAUUUGGGUUGUUCCUUCUCAUAGCCAUCAGCUGGGAUUACUACAAGUAGACAUUUUGAAACAUGUCCGACUAGGGAAAAAAGGAUCAUUUUUAAGAUAACUUAGGGGGUGCCUAGGUGGCUCAAUUGGUUAAGCAGCUGCCUUCAACUCAGGUCAUGAUCCCAGGGUCCUGGGGUCCAGCCCCCCAUGGGAGGUGUCUCUGCUCAGCAGGGAGUCUUCUUUUUUUUUUUCUCUCUCUCCCCCGCCUCACUGCUCAUUCUCUCUCUCUCAAAUAAAUAAAUAAAUAAUCUUUAAAAAAAAAGAUAAUUUAGGGCAGGUUUCAGAGAGUUGUGAUGCAGAAAAUGGCAUUUGUGACAGAUUUCUUACUAGUUAUGGAGGGAAAAAAAGGAAAGAAUAGAUAUGGUCUAGGAUGGUCAAUUCAACAUUGAUCUGUGUGUGUGUGUAGUCUGUUUGUGUGUGUGUGUGUGUGUGUGUCUGUCUGUCUGCCUGUCUCUCUCUACUCUGACAUUAAGGCCUUUAUAGUCUUUUUUUUUUUUUUUUAAGAUUUUAUUUCCAAGUCAUCUCUACCUGCAAUGUGAGGCUCAGACACACAACC